UCUUUCAUCACUACCAAACUCAUGGAAUAUUACUCAACUGUAUCAUAUGAGCCUUGAUUCUCAACAAUUAAACAUCCAUCCCGACCCUAUCUCAAAAUCAAAACUCAUGUAUCAUCAGAAAUCAAAAGCAAACCCUUCUUCGUUACCCUAGAUCUAGUUUCUUUGCUCCUGAAAUUCAAAUCAGGCCUUCAUCUCAUACUCUAGAAGAUGCAGAGACAUUUAAAGAUGAUGAUAAUGAUAUAUGGUCGAAUUACUUACUUUUUUCUAUUUAGGAUUGAUUAAUCUAAUUCUGAAUGUAGGGUCUGUUCAAAUUUCUGGAAUUUUUACUAAUUUUUAUUAUCAUUUACUUAGAUUUUGCAGACUAAAGAAGAAAUCAAUGGAGUAUUUUGCUAGAUUAGCGAAUAGGUUAUGUUCAAGUUUCAAUUAGCGAAUAGGGUUUUUCUUCUAGACUCUCUUUAUACCAUGUAAUCUAAGCUUUAUUAGAGUACGAUCCGAAAUUGGUUUAGGGUUUUUUUUAUUCUGGAUUUAUUUCAUUUGGAAACCCUAACUUAUGGCAUAAUGGUGGUGGAGUUUGAACUUCAGCCUCCUAUCUUAAUUAGGUAGUUUUCUUUAAGUAUUAAAUUGUGUGAUGUUUAUUUGCUAACUUAUUCUUAGGAUUAACAUGUAUGUAUGGGUUUUUUUCUUCUACAUCUAUCCAAACAAGAAUCUUUUCUCUUGAAGAAUGAAAGAAAAAUAGACUGGUUGAUUCACACUUUGAGUAUGCUAAAUUGUGAUUUUGGAUGAAUAAGCUUGCAUGUAGUUGUUGGACCAUAAAUUUCUGGUUGAGUCAGUUAGAUUGAUAUUGAUAUGGUACCAGGAUAUUAAAUAGUCUCAUCUUACAGAUGAAUUUCUUUCUGACUUUUGUCUAUGCAGAAUUGCGGUGGCAGAACUGGCAUCUUGCUCAAGAAAAUAGUAAGAUGUGUGAAUGAUCAGUUUAUUACCACAUUCCUUCUCAUACAAUUUCAAUUGCUUCAGAAUACUAAAUUAACUCUUUGUUUGAUGUUUGGUGAGAACUGAUUGUGUGUAGAUGAAUAGAGCUUGGGAUGGUCUUGGAGAAGCUCUUGAAGGUUGCAUCAACAAUAAGAUUCAUGGUUCAGGAAUUAAACUAUUGGAUCGUGGAUAUUCAAAAAAUCAGUAUCGAAGGAUGUUAUGAAUGGUGACCUUAUGUAUCCAACAAGUUUGGGAGUGAAACUGUUGGCUGGGAAUGUCUUGGAGACGCACUCUAUGGUGGAUAUGGGCAGGAGAUAACCUUUCCAUUCUCUUGAAUUCAUGAUGUUGUGGAGCUUGAUUUUUUGUAUUCAAGUGAUGGUACCCGUAGAUGGUGGGAUAACGUUUACCGGAUAACUGUUGUAGCUGCUACUUGGGAUCAGACUGCUCUCAUCUUGAGUGUGCCCAAGCGGAAAUCUAGAUGAAACCCAAGAGACCCCAAGGACAUCUGCAUUUCCAAAUACCUAAGCUAAGGCGAUUGACAUCUAUCUAACUAAUUCAGACAUGCUCAUAAUUUGUGUAAUACAGUCUUGUUUAUCAUUUUAUAGGGUCACUUGCAUCAUAAAAUUUUAACAUUCUUAUGUGUCU